UACGGAGGGGACUAGCGUUGUUCGGAAUUACUGGGCGUAAAGCGCACGUAGGCGGAUUGUUUAGUCAGGGGUGAAAUCCCGAGGCUCAACCUCGGAACUGCCUUUGAUACUGGCAAUCUCGAGUCCGGAAGAGGUGAGUGGAAUUCCUAGUGUAGAGGUGAAAUUCGUAGAUAUUCGCAAGAACACCAGUGGCGAAGGCGGCUCACUGGCCCGGUACUGACGCUGAGGUGCGAAAGCGUGGGGAGCAAACAGGG
rnacentral:rRNA from 1 species